UCCCUCUCAGGGUCGCACCUGGAGAGUUUCCAGUACUCUAUCAGUCUCGGCUACAGGAGGGAGAGUCAAGCAGAAAGCUAUCCAUUCCAUUCCUAGCUUGGGCAGUGGCUAGCGAGUGGAAGGCAAUCUGCUAUGAGU
rnacentral:snoRNA from 1 species